UACAGAGGUCUCGAGCGUUAGGCGGAAUCACUGGGCUUAAAGCGUGUGUAGGUGGAUCGUUAAGUACCUUGUGAAAUCCCACGGCUUAACCGUGGAACUGCUUGGUAUACUGGGCGGUCUUGAGUCAGCUAGGGGCUACCGGAACAAAUGGUGGAGCGGUGAAAUUCGUAGAUAUCGGGAGGAACACCGGUGGCGAAGGCGGCGACCUGGGUAGAUACUGACGCUGAGGCGCGAAAGCGUGGGGAGCAAACAGG
rnacentral:rRNA from 1 species